rnacentral:tRNA from 1 species
CAGGCUGCUGCACCAGAGGGCGAGAAGGCCGCG